AGAAGAAUACAAUAGUUUUGUGUGUUUUACAUCUUUUAUUGUUUUUAUCUUUUGCAUGUUGAUAGUGGACACAUUCGAAAUAAUAUUGCGUAUAGAGAUAAAGGUAAUAAACAAGUAAACAAAGAUAUAAAUUUAAACAAACAACGAAGUAACAAAUAAAACAAAUAAAGUAAAACAACAAUCAAUGACUUGUAUUCAAACACAAAACAGAUUACAUGAAUGUAACCAUGGACUCCUAAGAUGAACUUUAAGAAUCUAGAGAAACUCCCUGUGAUUCUAUACUAUCGUAACUUCUAGGGUACUACACCUAAGUGCAUGCUCGUAGAUGUUGUCAUGUCUACUAUUUCUCUAUUCUCCCCUUUAUUUGAUAAACAUCAAAAGGGAAGGAGAGAAAGGACUCCACAACUCAACAAAGUGAAGAAAGAAAAAAAGAAGAUGGGGAAGAGUACAGGUAGGAGGAAGGGUUAUGAAGGGGGGAACGAAGGUUUAUUGGUGGAACAAAGAAAAAGUAAGGGGAUUGAAGAACACGGGAUGGAUGAAAAGGACGAUGUUGGGGAGGCAAAGGCAGGUGAGGAGAGGUGGUGGUAAAGUGGAAGAACAAUGUGUGUAAGACAAGUAAGUUCUUAGAGUGGAAGGAGGAAAGAAUGUUGGAUUAUCAUGUUCAUGUUGUUUCGGUGAUCGGAUGAGAUGACGAUGACGGUCAAGAGGUUUGGAAGAGGGCUUCAUUGGUUUGGAGUGUUGAAGAUCUGAGAGAUUGAAGAGUUGAGAGGGCAUGACAAUGACAGAGGAAUUAGGGUUUGAAGAGACUGAGUUGGGAGGAUGAGAAGAGAAACACAUUUAAAUAAAGGAAAAUUAAUCAUGAGAGAUUGAUUAGUGUCUUCAAUUUAAUGUGGUUAGUACGAAAAUAUCUAAAAGAGAUUUGCAUCUCUUUAAAUAUCGAGAAGAUUUUUGAGAAGAGUGUUAGUCAACAAUAGAUAAGAGUGGGAGGAGCAGCGAAAUCAAAGAUUUAGGAUUUUGAUGAGGAGAGAGAAACAUUUGGGAAGAUAGAAGGGUUGAUGGUUUAAUUGACACA
rnacentral:lncRNA from 1 species